rnacentral:lncRNA from 1 species
CGGCCAUCACUCUCAAUGAGCCCAGGGUAACUGUCAGCGUCUCAGGUAAUACGGAUGCACAUCCUCUUACAGCAGCAGUUUCGGGCCUUCCUUGAGUGUGCUCUGGAAAACGUCGCUUGGUGCUCCCCACAGGACGACAUCCCUGAGACAAUCUUCCAGUUGGAGCUUCUUCCUCUACACACACGUCCUCCCAGAGCAAGACACCUGCAUUUAGAAUUUCAUCUCUCCAGGGAUCCCACGCUGAGGUCAGCUAAUUUUCUCUGUACAAGUGAAAUGGAGGAACAAAACAUUCUUUUCCCAAACCUAGAGCCCAAAACCUCUACCUAUAUACCACAAGGGACAAAAAAGCUUCUUUAUGCCAAUGACUAGAAGU